CGGCCUUUCUCUUCUCCUUCAUCACCUUUCUCCCAAAGCUGGUUCACCUCUUCUCAUUCAUGAAGAUUUCUUCACCUAGUUGCCUUUUUGCCAAACAACCUGGUUUUAUCUCUCAGGUCACAAAAAUUCCAUACAUACCUGUUCAAUUUGAUAGUUCGGAAUUCGGAAUUAGGGUAUUGUGAAGAAAGAGAAUUUUAAAAGAAUUAGGGUAUUGCGUUGCCACCUCGUUACAAAAAAUUCCUUUUUCUUCCACGCAAUCCAAUACCCAAUAGCCCAAACCCCUCUCCAUCGUCUUUUUGUUUCCUCUGCCUUUUGUUUUUUUAAGAAAAAAAAAACAUUACAUUACUCAAAAAUUUAAUUUAAUAUCCUUUUUCAACCUUCUCGUUGUUAUUUCUUUUUGUUCCUUUGGUGUUUCUUCAACCCUUGUUUUAUGUUUCCGCGAACCAGAGAAUCAGCCAAACUGUUUUUCUAGAUUGUUAAGGCUUCAGAAGAAGCUGCGUACGUCAGAGACCUCUCAGAUGAUUUGCUGCAGCCAACUACAAAACGGUCUCACAAUGUCUCAACCAAGGAAGUCAUAUUCUGGAAAAUUUUUAAGUGCCAACAAUUGAAGUGUUCCCUGCAGCUGCUCUAACACCUGCACUAGCAGCACCAGAGAUGAGAAUGAAUGAGUGACUGAGGGAGGAAUCAGAAGCCCUUUGUUGGAGAACCCGAAUAUAUCCCCCUAGAAAGGCUUGCCAGACAAGGCAUCAACAACAAGAUUUGCAUUUGGUUGGGUAGGUUCUUCCCUGUGGUACUGUCAAAUAGCUGGUGAAAAUCUGAGAGUUUUGAUAUGUUUGCCUGCAUUUGGGAAGCUUCACAAAAAAGUAUUGCAGAUGCCUUCUGUGGGUUUGGGUUAUCAAAUGUUGAACUAAGCGAGCUUGUCUUGUCCUGUGCUCCCUUUUUGCUUUGUAUAAACAUUCUUUUUGGAAAAAGGAAUAUAUAUAUUUAGGAAUCAAUUUCUAAAAUGAUUAAUAGGAAGAGUAACUCUUGGAAUCUGUCAUUUCUAUUACAAUAGGUAUGACUCAAAAUUUGAUAUGCAGCAAUAUUUGGUGGUGAUUAUACUGAAUGUAUCAUUUUUUUAGGACAAUGACCAAGAUUUUUUCUUGCAGUCUUGAUAUUACAGAUAAUAAAAUUCAAACCAUGCCAUGGGCAGCGAUUCUUGAAAAGAAGGAAAACUACUUGAUCGGAAUGCUUAACAAGGGAGUACUUGCAUUUCCAAUCUCAAAAUGGGUCCCUGGUGCUGGUCCAACUGUCAAAUCUGGUUCAAAGGGAAAGUGUCGUCGUUUGAUACUGACUAAAACCCUUGAGUGGACCUUAAAUUGGUGCAUACUACAGAGCAUGUUUGAUAGUGGAGUUGGAAGGUUUGAAAAAAGCACACAUUCGAGAUGGCGUUGCAGUGGUGCAAUAUCUUGUCUGGUUGGAUAAGCAGGAGAUAUAUGGGGUUUCUGGUUACUUCUUGGAAGGAGACGAAGUGACUAAGAAAAAGCAAUUGACCGCUCAAAUAAUGGCAGAGGCUUACGUGUUAUGCCAAUGAACUUAUAUGAGUUUCAAGUUGUUGGCCAUGGCAUGUUCGUUGGAGUUGUUAACUUAGAAAAUAAGACGUGCUCAUGCAAGGAAUUUGACAUUGAUGGAUUUCCUUGUGUCCAUGCAAUUGUAGCAUGUAAGCAUCGACAUAUCUCUCCAUAUUUCCUUUGCUCGGCGCAUUACUCAGUUGACUCACUCCGUGAUGCAUACUCGGAAACCAUAUAUCCACUUGGAGAUAAAAGUCAGUGGCAUGCUCCAGAUGAUGUCAUAAACCAGGUUGUACUUCCACCUCAAAUUGGCAAAUAGUCAGGAAGACCGAGAAAGAAGAGGAAUCAAUCUCAAGGAGAGGAGCGUCAUCAAUAUAGAUGCGGGAGGUGCAAACAGGUUGGUCACAGCAGCCAAUCAUGCUCCGCCGCCGUACCUCUUGAUAGCACUAACAACCAACAGCACCAUUGAAACGAACGCCCAUCAAUCGCAUGAUGCUAUAUUCAGACAAUGAGGCCAUUUUAUGUGGUAUGCGUGUGUAUGAAAUGUAGUCAGGAAUGCAAUUAGUUGGUCAACCGCAUAACGUGUGUUUUGGCAUAAUAGACGUUGGCUUUAUGUGUUCUUUUAUUGUCAAAUUCAUCUGUCGUAUUGUUUUGAUAACAUAUCAUUCCGUCUUCAGUUUUUGGUUCAGUUGUUUGUAUGUUUCUUACUAUUGCAUGGAUGAUAUUACUGCCCAAUGGUAAUGACCAAUGCAUCAUCGGUAA